GACCCAGUGAUCUAGUGGUAUGAUCUGACUUCUUCGUAGUCAGUAGGCGAGUUCGAAUCUCGUCUGGGUUA
rnacentral:tRNA from 1 species